UGAAAUUUAUAAAAAUUAGAAGAAAACUAAGCUUAACAAUAAUGGGUUAUCUCAUCCUUUGAAAGACACUUACACCUUAAAGCCAGGUUCUGAGCGGAUGCAGUGUUUAUGCAACAUACGCAACUUAGCACUGAAGUCAAAAGAUGCUCAUGAAAUCCAUGACAAGUGUCAUGAUGCAGAUUGUGGCUUUAAAUGUGUUGAUUGCGGUUGUCACAUGACUGAGUGAGACUUAAUGGAAAAUCAUUUAAAAACACAAGCAGGUAAAAGGAACCGACCGGUGCCUAUGAAAGUGUUUUUAUGUCACAAAGUGCCUGGAAAAUGCCUCAGGGAAGGCCUGGCCUCAUGUCUUUCAGUGCACAAAGUGUUCAUCAUCUUUUGAAACUGAGCAGAUAAGAAAUCUCCAUACAGCUUGCCAUUAUCAGGAUAUGUUUAAAUGUAUGCACUGUGAUUUUUACCAGUAAGUUGAAUGCAUAUUUUUUUAUUCUUAUACAACUGCCUCAGCUAUAAACUUGUCUGUGCACUUAACUUUAUUUGUUCAGUGCAAAGAUUUAGUUUGACAGUUUUGGCAUGAGGUGCAGAUGCUGUCGUGAGAAGUUACAGCAAACUGUCUUAACAGUGGUUUAAAAAAAGAAGAAACGUGAAUUGCAAAAGUUGAAAGAAGUGUCACAAGUGUUCCCCCUUUGAUGUUCCUAUGUGUCACAAAAUCCUGGCUCGUUUUAUGUUGUGGAUGCUGAAUAUUUCUAGGAGUUGACCUUCGUAUUCCAUUAGUCUAGUUAAUCUUAGUAGUUUUUUAGUGGCUCUGUAAAAUAUUACUGUGAACGUAUCUCUAUCAAGAUUAAUGCUUUUUAUCUUUGCGUGAAGCGAUUAAUAGCUAAAUACUCUCUCUGUGUAUAAAUGGAGGACUUUGGCAAAGUAACUUCAUGCGUGUCUCUCAAGUUUUUAGCAAAGUUCCUAUGGCUGCUACUGUUCAUACCAGACCGAACUCUUGCUGUCUGGGUUGAACUGCUGGUUUGGUUCUGAUUGACCAAUGAGCCCAGUACAGAAGUAGAUAAUCCUUGUGAAAUAAGGAGAUGGCUUACAGGAGUGCUCUGGAGUUUGUGGCAGUGGCCAGGUAAUAGAAUAGUCAAUGUUAGGAGCAGGAUAGUUAUGGGUAAUGUGGAAUAAACAGGGAUUUCUGUGAUCAUAGUUGGGCUGGACAUUGCGUGUUGUGUUGCAGUAUAGAUUUUGAAGGGUUUGGUAAUAACAGAUCAUGGGUGGUGCAGUCUAAGGCUAACAUCUUCCUGUUUGUCUUUGGAGUAGGUAGGGUUGGUAGGGUUGUUCUGAGAUUUAACUAUUUAAAAUGGCUGGAAGUAGAAUUUUUGUAGUGGAUACUUGCAGAAUUUCUGCAGGAGAAGUGACUAAAAAAAAAGUCAUUUUCAGAACUAAAAGCAAAACUUGAGUGUUUUUCUUAUUUUCUUCACAACAGCGUACAUCAUCUCCACUUAAUCGUAAAGAACGAUAAGCAAUGGAGCAAGGUCUACAAGCACCUGCACAGCCAUGGUUACUAUUCCAAACUGCCUCCAUAUACUGAAUGUGAGACGUUUCUUAGGAAUGUCCUGGGACAUCUAGACCCUCUUGGAUCACUGGCUUCAGCUCCAUCGUGACAUCCCAAAACAUACUACGGUGGUAAUGUUGUAUUGACCACCGAACCCCGCUGAAGCAUGGAGCUGGCCUUCACUGAGUGGAGGGUCAGAGCAGAGUUGAAACAGCAUAUGGAAAACCACAAAGCUUCUAGAGCCUUUUUGUGUUCAUUAUGUGAUCAAGCAUUCAAAACCAGGCAUCGCAAAUACAUCCGUCAGAAAAAUAAAGUGGAAGAGAAGAAAAGAAGAAAGAAGGCUGAGGAUUGUCCUGUGUUCCACAACACAAAAGCAACUAAAACAAAGGAGAAUUCAAGUGAAUUUUGCUUGCAGCCCCUGCAGUAGGAAUGGCCAAUAUUAGAGCAAAACUGUAUUUUGUUUGUUAUGCUCCAGGUAGUUCUGUAGAUCUUCAUUGCAGAGCAAUUAAUAGAGAACUGUACAAAUGUAGUCAAAGGCAUUUUUUGGUCCUCCCCGCCCCCUCGCCUUUUAAAACUUGUCCACAGAUAGCCUAAACAAAAAAUUAUGUAUGCUGUUCAAGUAGUGGUGUCUUCUACAUGGUCUGUGAUAGUACUGCUCUUCUGAAUAAAGAAAUGGGCCGACUGAAAGGUUUUCUCUUUUUACAUUUUACUACAGGCAACAGCAAAAAAGAGCCAAGGAGAUGUGCCAGGAGACAUGCUGUGUUUAUAAUACUGUGAGGCUUCUUGGAAUUCUGCAGAUAAACUAGAUGAAAAAAUUGUGACAAUGUACACCUUCUUUUGCAGUCAUGGUUACAUUUGUAACAGGCAUAUUUACUGAAGUGUUAGUUUUAUCUGCUAAUGCAAAUUUCAGCUUCAUUGUAGUUGCCUGACCUCAAGUGCAUCCUUUUUUCCAAAGAGAACUUGAGAAAGCAUCUGAGGUUUUCUUCCAAUGAAGUAAAUCAACAUUUUGCUAUUCAGAAAAGAUCUUUUGCUCUUUUCAUUCAUAGUGAAGAUAGUGAUCUUUGGUAGCCACCUAUCCACGAGUUGACAUCACACAAUAUUCUAAUAAGAGCUAUUCCAGUAUUUAGGAGAAGCUUUUAAAACAUUAGUGCCGCGUACGUUCCAUUUCUCUAGGUUUCUUCUAAGUAUGUGAAUUCCAUCUUCGGGAUGUUCUUUCUUCUUUGUGGUAUGUGACCAUACAUAUGUCUCUUACAGUAUUAGAAAACACUUUCACGAUGGAUAUCUUCAGUUAACUAGGUGAACCACUAUCUGAAAUUUAAAGUUGUAUAUUGUAGUUCAAAUGAUUCACAUUGCCAAAGUUCAUGUUCCAAAUGGUUUUGUUUUUUGGGCUCCACCUACCACUCCACCUUUUUCUAGGACUGCAGUCAUUGUCAGUGUGUAGCGAAUCUGAAUUUGGUCAUUUGAAGUUGUUAUUGCUCGGGUAGAAAUAAAUACAUACAUAUUUUAUUGGCUUGCUGAAAUUAGUGUUUAAAAAAGUUGGUGCUUGGAUAGUCAAGGACCUGAUUACUUGUAGUGAACUAUCAGCUUUGAUUGUAGAUACAGAGUAGACUGACAUGCAAAGGUGAUAUAUCUUUGACAUAGACAUCUUUUUUUUAAUUAGGUAGUAGGUUAAAAAGCCUUGUCAUAGUCAAAGCACAUUUCAGUCAUAGGAAGUUGACAAAGCAGAAGGACAAGUUGCUCUGACGUUUAUAGUGAGAUGUUUCGAAAUAACCUGUCUCAAUUUUAAAGUGUUUGAGAGGUAUUAUUGUGCAAGGUUAAGUGUUUACAUCACUAUGUUAUUUAAACUGUUAUUUUGGUCCAGGAAUGUAUGGCAACACGGUUUUUAUUCUGGGAUUACAUAUGAGAUGUAUUGUUAAUCUGAAUGCAUAACAUCUGUCUGUUUUGGAAGUAAAAAGGAUGCUUAUUGAAUGGGUUUUUGGAGCUGUUCCUGAAAGUCAUCGUCAUGACAAUUGCAAAGAUUAAGGACUUAUUUGAACUUUUCAUACCCCGCAACUGACUUGAGUUUCGCUGUGACAUCUAUAUAGCAAAACAAACUUCAUGUUAACACUGCUUCUUUCUUAUGACCUCUCAGAGCAGCAAACUAAUGAAACUAGUAAAUGGCUACAUUAACAAUCUGUAGUUGUCCUUUACUUGCACUAAAGGCCCUGACCCUGUGGUAGACGUGGCAGAAUGAAGUGUGUUGUGAACCUCAGCCAGUUCAGUGUUAUGUCCAGGAGCUCAGGUUAAUUAGCUGAUGGCAGAACGAUGUAAAGAUAUCCCUGCUAUGCUGACUGUGACUCUAAAUGCACAGGCUGUCUGUCCUUCUACGCAGAGCUCCAGAACCCCACAGCAGUAGCCUCGUUUCCUCGUCUUCCCAGAAUCAUCUUUCAUUAUGCCUAGAUCAACAGAUUCAUUUGGGAAGUCUAUUUUAGAAUAUAUUUAUACUUUAAUUUUAGAGCUUUUUUUUUUUAAUUCCUUUGAAUUGCUGUCACAGUGUUGAAUUAUCAGAACAGUGCAAGUAAUGGUAUGUAGGGAACAGCUAUAGUCUUGGCUGUCUUGGGUUUUUUUUUUUUCCCCCCAGAAGAGGGCAGCAAAGGAACAUUAUACUGGAACAACAAAGGAACAACGUUAUACUGGAUUUUACUUUUCAAAUGUUUUCUCAGUGUUCCUCUGUGCCUGUAAACCUCAGGACAGACUACCUCCUGGUUUCAGAGUUCCAGUUUAAAAUGAUGGUUUCUACUUAACUCAUUUGCUACACUGUGUGAAUGUGUGAAUUGCAAUUCUUCAUUGUUUUUAGAUUUAGACAGUAGAAUUUACUAAAUGAAAUCUAGCUCACGCCUAUAGAAAAAGGUAGUUCUGUACUAAGGUUUAUGAUUUUUAUGAUUAUGGUAUUAGAUGUGUGUAUAUCUUUAAAAGAAAAAAAAAAGCCAGAAAACAUUAUCCAGUUACACUGUUAUUUAAAAGUUGAAAUCACCUAAGGCUUGCUCACGUCUUUCAAAUGUUUAUUUUCUACUUUUUCAAGUUAAAUUAAUAUAUUAUAACAAUUCAAAAAAAUGUUCCCAUGGCCAUUUUUUUUUCUCACACUGGACUCUAAGCUUUAUUUUCUAGUCUGUAUAGUGAUGUUGUUAGUUCAUGUAUCUGCUUUAUAAGGAUGCCUUAUAUUUUCUGCUGACAGCACAUGUGAGUUUAAAGGCCUCAAUUUAAAGGGGAUACUAUGGGUAGCAGGAGAGGCAUCGUAAAUUGUGAAAAAUAAACUUCAGAAUGUUUUUCAA